AGUUUAACAUCAAAAGAGAGCUUCUAGGUACACCUGUGUCACUGCCUUGUGUGGUACAUCCCAUGUCCAGAUGAAGCUGUACAAGAUACCCCACAAGGCCCUCCAAAGGAGCCCACCCGCGCUCGAAGGCAGGGGCUGGACUAACAGGCUGGAUGAUGCCGAUGGUGUCUUUCCUCAUCCUCACCUUCCGUCAAAACACACAGACCUCUCUAUCCCCAGCACACAACUUUUUCUCUGUCAGAAAUUCAUUGUGAUCCCAGGAGAGCAUAAUCCUGCAAAUUUUUCAUCACUUUCAUUUAUGGGAUCUGCUACAG